GGGGUUGUGGCUCAGUGGUAGAGCGCUUGCUUUACACGCAUGAGGCCCUGGGUUCGAUCCUUAGCACCA
rnacentral:tRNA from 1 species